rnacentral:rRNA from 1 species
UGCCAGCAGCCGCGGUAACACGGGGGGCGCAAGCGUUAUUCGGAAUUAUUGGGCGUAAAGGGUACGUAGGCGGCCCUGUAAGCAUCUCGUGAAAUCCCACGGCUCAACCGUGGAAUUGCGGGGUGAACUACAGGGCUUGAGGCAGGUAGAGGUUGUCGGAACGAUCGGUGGAGCGGUGAAAUGCGUUGAUAUCGAUCGGAACGCCAAAGGAGAAGUCAGGCAGCUGGGCCUGUCCUGACGCUGAGGUACGAAAGCGUGGGUAGCGAACGGGAUUAGAUA